AACGCUAGCUACAGGCUUAACACAUGCAAGUCGAGGGGCAGCAUGGUUUUAGCUUGCUAAGACUGAUGGCGACCGGCGCACGGGUGAGUAACACGUAUCCAACCUGCCGUCUACUCUUGGACAGCCUUCUGAAAGGAAGAUUAAUACAAGAUGGCAUCAUGAGUCCGCAUGUUCACAUGAUUAAAGGCAUUCCGGUAGACGAUGGGGAUGCGUUCCAUUAGAUAGUAGGCGGGGUAACGGCCCACCUAGUCUUCGAUGGAUAGGGGUUCUGAGAGGAAGGUCCCCCACAUUGGAACUGAGACACGGUCCAAACUCCUACGGGAGGCAGCAGUGAGGAAUAUUGGUCAAUGGGCGAGAGCCUGAACCAGCCAAGUAGCGUGAAGGAUGACUGCCCUAUGGGUUGUAAACUUCUUUUAUAAAGGAAUAAAGUCGGGUAUGCAUACCCGUUUGCAUGUACUUUAUGAAUAAGGAUCGGCUAACUCCGUGCCAGCAGCCGCGGUAAUACGGAGGAUCCGAGCGUUAUCCGGAUUUAUUGGGUUUAAAGGGAGCGUAGAUGGAUGUUUAAGUCAGUUGUGAAAGUUUGCGGCUCAACCGUAAAAUUGCAGUUGAUACUGGAUAUCUUGAGUGCAGUUGAGGCAGGCGGAAUUCGUGGUGUAGCGGUGAAAUGCUUAGAUAUCACGAAGAACUCCGAUUG
rnacentral:rRNA from 1 species